rnacentral:rRNA from 1 species
AACGAACGCUGGCGGCGUGCUUAAGACAUGCGAGUCGAACGAGAAAGUCACUUCGGUGGCGAGUACAGUGGCGCACGGGUGAGUAACGCGUGGGUAAUCUGCCCUUUGGUCUGGAACAACCCCGGGAAACUGGAGCUAAUUCCAGAUAAGACUACGACCUCUUCGGGGGAUGUAGAAAAAGGUGGCCUCUCCUUGGAAGCUAUCGCCGAAGGAUGAGCCCGCGUCCCAUUAGCUUGUUGGUAGGGUAACGGCCUACCAAGGCUUCGAUGGGUAGCUGGUCUGAGAGGAUGAUCAGCCACACUGGGACUGAGACACGGCCCAG